ACACAGGUGCUGCAUGGCUGUCGUCAGCUCGUGUCGUGAGAUGUUGGGUUAAGUCCCGCAACGAGCGCAACCCUCGCCUUUUAGUUACCAUCAUUUAGUUGGGUACUCUAAAGGAACCGCCGGUGAUAAGCCGGAGGAAGGUGGGGAUGACGUCAAGUCCUCAUGGCCCUUACGCGUUGGGCUACACACGUGCUACAAUGGCGACUACAGUGGGCUGCAAACUCGCGAGGGUGAGCUAAUCUCCAAAAGUCGUCUCAGUUCGGAUUGUUCUCUGCAACUCGAGAGCAUGAAGGCGGAAUCGCUAGUAAUCGUGGAUCAGCAUGCCACGGUGAAUACGUUCCCAGGCCUUGUACACACCGCCCGUCACACCAUGGGAGUUGGAUUCACCCGAAGGCGUUGCGCUAACUCGCAAGAGAGGCAGGCGACCACGGUGGGUUUAGCGACUGGGGUG
rnacentral:rRNA from 1 species